CACUGAUUUAUGGUAAUAAGUCAGGCGGUUAGCUACUAGGCUUAUAGUAAUAAAUCAACAAUAAUUCAUGAUAUAGUAAUAUCAUCAUCGACAGCAUUUUGUCACCGCUUAUCUUGUAUUAAACAGUCCUUCACUGAAAUAAACAACCGUCGUUGUCGGACGUGGAUCCCGAAGAGUUUACAAAUGAAAGGAAGCAAGAAGCAGCAAAUAAACAAGUCGAGCCUAAGUUGGCACUGCGGACUCGGCCAUUUCUCCAGGAGGCAAGGAGUGGUGUCACUUUAAAAAGGAUAUCAAAGGGGCGAACCCCCGCGAAAUGCGGGUUUUAUAGUUGGCGCGCAACCCCCCCCCCCCCCGCUUUGUUCUUCCUAGGAGGACCUACACCUGUUUCUGAUGACGGGACUCCCAGCCUGUCCCUUUCGUGAAAACCGAUCCUUCCUGAUCCCUUUGAUGUAACCCGAUCACAAAGUCGAAAGUAACGGGAUCUUUGGAUCGCGGACGCCCUUUCAACAGUAUCCGCUAAUCGAACAGGAAAGGGGGGGUGACAACCGUGGUCAGGGCGUAGGCACGGAGAGGCGGACAACAUAAACACCGAAAACUUUCACGAUAGAUAAGCGAUGAACCCGUUUUAGGUUGUUAUAAC